GGGGCUGUGGCUCAGUGGUAGAGCACCUGCUUGAAAAGCUGAAGGUCCCAGGUUCAAUCCCUGGCAUCUCCA